rnacentral:rRNA from 1 species
UACGUAGGUGGCAAGCGUUUGUCCGGAAUUAUUGGGCGUAAAGCGCGCGCAGGUGGUUUCUUAAGUCUGAUGUGAAAGCCCACGGCUCAACCGUGGAGGGUCAUUGGAAACUGGGGAACUUGAGUGCAGGAGAGAAGAGUGGAAUUCCACGUGUAGCGGUGAAAUGCGUAGAGAUGUGGAGGAACACCAGUGGCGAAGGCGACUCUUUGGCCUGUAACUGACACUGAGGCGCGAAAGCGUGGGGAGCAAACGGG